rnacentral:rRNA from 1 species
UACGUAGGAGGCAAGCGUUGUCCGGAAUUACUGGGCGUAAAGGGCGCGUAGGCGGCCUUCUAAGUCGAACGUGAAAUCCCUGGGCUCAACCCAGGAACUGCGUCCGAUACUGAAAGGCUUGAAUCCGGGAGAGGGAUGCGGAAUUCCAGGUGUAGCGGUGAAAUGCGUAGAUAUCUGGAGGAACACCGGUGGCGAAGGCGGCAUCCUGGACCGGUAUUGACGCUGAGGCGCGAAAGCCAGGGGAGCAAACGGG